rnacentral:rRNA from 1 species
AUGCACGCCCACGCCCCCCACGCCCUCGGGCUCCGCGUCCCUCCUCCCGCGUUCCCCCGCCACCGCGCUCGCCCGCGCCGGCGCCCCGCCGCGGCCGUCCGCGCCACCUCGGCGGCGCCGCAGAGAGAGACGGACCCCAGGAAGCGGGUGGUGAUCACGGGGAUGGGGCUGGCGUCGGUGUUCGGGAACGACGUGGACACAUUCUACGACCGGCUCCUGGCCGGGGAGAGCGGCGUCGGGCCCAUCGACCGGUUCGACGCCAGCAGUUUCCCCACGAGGUUCGCCGGGCAGAUACGGGGGUUCUCGUCGGAGGGGUACAUCGACGGCAAGAACGACCGGAGGCUUGACGACUGCAUCCGAUACUGCAUCCUCAGCGGCAAGAAGGCGCUCGAGAGCGCCGGGAUCGGCGCAGGCUCCGACGCGCACGGCAAGCUUGAUGUGGGGCGGGCUGGUAUUCUUGUGGGUUCUGGCAUGGGUGGCCUUUCAGUAUUCUCCGAUGGUGUUCAGAAUCUUAUCGAGAAGGGAUACAGAAAAAUUUCACCUUUCUUUAUCCCGUAUGCUAUAACUAACAUGGGUUCAGCCUUGCUUGCCAUGGAUGUUGGUUUCAUGGGCCCCAACUACUCAAUUUCAACUGCGUGUGCAACCUCCAACUACUGCUUUUAUGCUGCCGCAAACCAUAUUCGUCGUGGUGAGGCUGAUAUCAUCGUCGCUGGUGGAACUGAAGCUGCCAUCAUUCCAAUCGGCCUUGGAGGUUUUGUAGCAUGUAGAGCACUAUCACAAAGGAACGAUGACCCAAUAACUGCAUCUAGGCCAUGGGAUAAAGAGCGAGAUGGCUUUGUUAUGGGUGAAGGUGCCGGUGUACUGGUUAUGGAGAGCCUGGAGCACGCAAUGAAGCGUGAUGCACCAAUAAUUGCUGAAUACUUGGGAGGUGCAGUCAACUGUGAUGCUUACCAUAUGACUGAUCCUCGAUCAGAUGGACUGGGUGUAUCAUCCUGUAUUACAAUGAGCCUCAGAGAUGCAGGUGUUGCACCAGAGGAGGUGAACUACAUCAAUGCACACGCAACUUCGACACUUGCUGGUGACUUGGCUGAAGUAAGAGCCAUUAAGCAAGUCUUCAAGAAUCCAUCUGAGAUCAAGAUCAAUUCUACAAAGUCCAUGAUAGGCCAUUGCCUGGGUGCAGCAGGUGGGUUAGAAGCUAUCGCCACUAUCAAGUCCAUAACUACUGGAUGGGUGCAUCCUACCGUUAACCAAUUUAACCCAGAGCCUGAAGUUGAUUUUGAUACAGUAGCUAACGAAAAGAAGCAGCAUGAAGUGAAUGUUGCUAUUUCUAACUCAUUUGGAUUUGGAGGGCACAAUUCGGUGGUGGUAUUCGCGCCAUUCAAGCCGUGA